AUACGUAGGGGGCGAGCGUUGUCCGGAAUGAUUGGGCGUAAAGGGCGCGUAGGCGGCGCGGUAAGUCUGGAGUGCAAGUCCUGCUUUCAAGGUGGGAAUUGCUUUGGAUACUGCCGCGCUUGAGUGCAGGAGAGGUUAUCGGAAUUCCCGGUGUAGCGGUGACAUGCGUAGAGAUCGGGAGGAACACCAGUGGCGAAGGCGGGUAACUGGACUGCAACUGACGCUGAGGCGCGAAAGUGUGGGGAGCAAACAGGAUUAGAUACCCUGGUAGUCCACACUGUAAACGAUGAAUGCUAGGUGUAAGAGGUAUCGACCCCUUUUGUGCCGGAGUCAACACAAUAAGCAUUCCGCCUGGGGAGUACGGCCGCAAGGUUGAAACUCAAAUGAAUUGACGGGG
rnacentral:rRNA from 1 species